GACGAACGCUGGCGGCGUGCUUAACACAUGCAAGUCGAGCGGUAAGGCCCUUUCGGGGGUACACGAGCGGCGAACGGGUGAGUAACACGUGGGUGACCUGCCCUCAGCUCUGGGAUAAGCCUGGGAAACCGGGUCUAAUACUGGAUAUGACUCCAUGACGCAUGUUGUGGGGUGGAAAGCCUUGUGCGGCUGAGGAUGGGCCCGCGGCCUAUCAGCUUGUUGGUGGGGGAUGGCCUACCAAGGCGACGACGGGUAGCCGGCCUGAGAGGGCGACCGGCCACACUGGGACUGAGACACGGCCCAGACUCCUACGGGAGGCAGCAGUGGGAAUCUUGCGCAAUGGGCGAAAGCCUGACGCAGCGACGCCGCGUGAGGGAUGACGGCCUGGU
rnacentral:rRNA from 1 species